rnacentral:misc_RNA from 1 species
UUUCCGUAGGUGAACCUGCGGAAGGAUCAUUAAAAAAUUGGACUCCAUUGGUGAGUUCAUUAAUAAUCCCUACCCUUGUGAAUUUGUUUGUUUGAAUAAUUUUUUUUUCCAAAAAAAAUUAUUGAAUGUCUUUCCCUGUUUUUGGUGGAGCUUGUAAAGUGAAACCAGGCAGGGGGAAUGGCCAAACAAUAAUUAUUUUUGAAAAAAAGACCUUUUUUUUAAAAUUAAAACUUUUGUUAUUCAUUUGUCUAAAUUAUUUUAUAAUAUAAAAACAACUUUUGACAAUGGAUCUCUUGUUCUCGCAACGAUGAAGAACGCAGCAAAAUGCGAUAAGUAGUGUGAAUUGCAGAAUACGUGAAUCAUCGAAUCUUCGAACGCAUAUUGCAACUUUUUUUAGUUUACUAAAAAGUAUGUCUGUUUGAGUAUCAGUAAAAUAUUCUCAUAAAAAAUUUAUUUUUUUAUGGUUAUGAGUGUUUUACAACGAUAACAAGUUGUUUCACUUUAAAUUCUUGUUAUCAAAAAAAAAAUCAUUUAAAAGCUAAUUUAAAAGAUUUUUUUAAAAUUGGAUAAAAUUUUCCCGUAAAAAGGAAUAACCUAAACAAUUUUAAAAAAAUUAAAAUUGGUUUGAUUUUUUUGAAUUUAAAGGAAAAAAAAAAAACGAAAUUAACUUGAUCUCAAAUCAGAUAAGAGUACCCGCUGAACUUAGCAUAUCAAUAAGCGGAGGAAAAGAAACUAACUAGGAUUCCCUCAGUAACGGCGAGUGAAGCGGGAAGAGCUCAAAUUUGAAAUCUUCAAGGUUUUACCUUGACGAAUUGUAGUUUAAAGAAGUGUUUUCUGUUGGAGUUUUGGUAAAAGUUCUUUGGGAAAAGGACAUCAUAGAGGGUGAGAUCCCGUAUUUGACCAUUAUCUCCAGCUUUGUAUACACUUUCAAAGAGUCGGAUUGUUUGGGAAUGCAGUCCAAAAUGGGUGGUAAAUUUCAUCUAAAGCUAAAUACUGGCGAGAGACCGAUAGCGAACAAGUACCGUGAGGGAAAGAUGAAAAGAACUUUGAAAAGAGAGCUAAACAGUACGUGAAAUUGUCAAAAGGGAAGCGUUUGACCACCAGUGUUGUUUUCUCGAAAAUCAAUUAAAAAAGGCCGGAUUUUGUGUUGUAUUGACUUUAUCAGCUUUCUGCACUUUUUUCUUGUCUUUUUUAAUGCACUUUUCGUUUAACAAGUCAACAUCAAUUUCUUUUGUUGUAAAAGGGUCAUUGGAAGGUGGCUUUCUUUUCGGAGAAAGUGUUUAUAGCCUUUGGCCUCUGCAAUCGGAGAGAUUGAGGUCUGCAGCGUAGAUCCUUCGGGGUUAGAUACAUUUGUGCUAAGUUAUAGCCUUUCAUAGACAACUUGUGACUAUGAUCAGUCAUGUAGCUUACUCGCUUAUGCUAUUU